rnacentral:rRNA from 1 species
CCCUUAGAUGUCCUGGGCCGCACGCGCGCUACACUGACAUGUUCAACAAGCCUCCUAGUUCGACAGGAUUUGGGAAAUCUUUGAACGCAUGUCGUGAUAGGGAUAGAUCAUUGCAAUUAUUGAUCUUGAACGAGGAAUUCCUAGUAAACGCGAGUCAUCAGCUCGCAUUGAUUACGUCCCUGCCCUUUGUACACACCGCCCGUCGCAGCUACCGAUUGAAUGUUUCGGUGAAGAUUCCGGAUAGGACUUUUUUGAUUUAUUUCAAUUUUGUCUUAAAAGCUAUCUAAACCUCAACAUUUAGAGGAAGGUGAAGUCGUAACA